rnacentral:tRNA from 1 species
GGGCGGUUAGCUCAGUUGGGAGAGCACCUGGUUUACACCCAGGGGGUCGGGGGUUCGAGCCCCUCACCGCCCA